CGGGGGGGGAGACUAUACAUGCAAGUCGAGCGGACCGACGGGAGCUUGCUCCCUUAGGUCAGCGGCGGACGGGUGAGUAACACGUGGGUAACCUGCCUGUAAGACUGGGAUAACUCCGGGAAACCGGGGCUAAUACCGGAUGCUUGAUUGAACCGCAUGGUUCAAUCAUAAAAGGUGGCUUUUAGCUACCACUUGCAGAUGGACCCGCGGCGCAUUAGCUAGUUGGUGAGGUAACGGCUCACCAAGGCGACGAUGCGUAGCCGACCUGAGAGGGUGAUCGGCCACACUGGGACUGAGACACGGCCCAGACUCCUACGGGAGGCAGCAGUAGGGAAUCUUCCGCAAUGGACGAAAGUCUGACGGAGCAACGCCGCGUGAGUGAUGAAGGUUUUCGGAUCGUAAAACUCUGUUGUUAGGGAAGAACAAGUACCGUUCGAAUAGGGCGGUACCUUGACGGUACCUAACCAGAAAGCCACGGCUAACUACGUGCCAGCAGCCGCGGUAAUACGUAGGUGGCAAGCGUUGUCCGGAAUUAUUGGGCGUAAAGCGCGCGCAGGCGGUUUCUUAAGUCUGAUGUGAAAGCCCCCGGCUCAACCGGGGAGGGUCAUUGGAAACUGGGGAACUUGAGUGCAGAAGAGGAGAGUGGAAUUCCACGUGUAGCGGUGAAAUGCGUAGAGAUGUGGAGGAACACCAGUGGCGAAGGCGACUCUCUGGUCUGUAACUGACGCUGAGGCGCGAAAGCGUGGGGAGCGAACAGGAUUAGAUACCCUGGUAGUCCACGCCGUAAACGAUGAGUGCUAAGUGUUAGAGGGUUUCCGCCCUUUAGUGCUGCAGCAAACGCAUUAAGCACUCCGCCUGGGGAGUACGGUCGCAAGACUGAAACUCAAAGGAAUUGACGGGGGCCCGCACAAGCGGUGGAGCAUGUGGUUUAAUUCGAAGCAACGCGAGAACCUUACCAGGUCUUGACAUCCUCUGACACCCUAGAGAUAGGGCUUCCCCUUCGGGGGCAGAGUGACAGGUGGUGCAUGGUGUCGUCAGCUCGUGUCGUGAGAUGUGGGUAGGUCCCGCACGACGCAUCCU
rnacentral:rRNA from 1 species